UAGAACUUCACAGGGAGCACUUUAUUCUCUCAGUACAUUAGAGACCAUUCUGACAGAUCCAUUACCCCAAGUGGGGAAUAAUUGCUUUAAACAAGCAAACAUCGUUUGGAAGGCACGAAGAAAAAAUACUUGUGACAUCAACGGAGUUCCACAAUGCUGCCUCCAGCGCCAGUAAUUUAUAUGUGUGUUAUCUUGUUCUUUGGAUGGUGGGCUGCAGGUGCAAUCUCUGCAAACCCGAAAGCUGAAACGCUCGAUAAGGCCCAUGAUCAUCCAGGUGAUUGGAUAGAGGAAAAAUAUCCCGAUGACGAUUGGAGUGUAAAUCUCGCGGUGGAUAAUGAGCUUGCUUUGCAAGUGAU